rnacentral:lncRNA from 1 species
AACCUGGUCUCAUCUCAGGCCUUGGACAGCUCUUCACUCACAACUGUCCCAUUCCCAUGCCCAGAUCAGCCCCACAUAUGUCUCUGUGUGUCUGAGUCUGGAAGAUACCACAGAUACCAUGUCAACAUUGCGUGGAGGCAAACCACCAGAGAGCCAGUUCACCGAUUUGCAGCUUGAUACUGCAUGAAUAUUUCAUGGCUGACCCCCUUCCUUUCUGGGCUUGAGUGACAUCGCUUUUUAAAAACUGCACCAUUGUUUCAGCCCCAGGGGUCUGUUGCUCCUGUUUUUCACUAAGCUGUUGCCUGUUUAGAUCAGGGUCAGCAGUGUGUCUCCACAUUGGUAGAACAUGUCUUUGUGUUCUUUAGAAUGGUAUAAUAUAAUCAAAACUUAAAAGAGUUACAUGUCACUUUGAUGACAUUCCAUAUGUUGAAAAAGAUAACACAUCAGUUUUGGAUUUCCCCAUUUUUAAUAAGAUUAAAGGGCUGUGGGAGUAUGGGACAAGCUACCCAGGCAUUAUGAUGACGCCGAUGUCCUGGUUUUCUUCAAGAAAUGGCUGGAUAUCCUCAGAUCACUUAACUACUAACUAGUGUGCUAAACAAGCUCCACUGGACACAUGGCCUCCUCAUUUGUAAGCUUUCUUAACGUUUGUAAUUAGACGCUGUCGAUGCAUGUUUUGAGCUAACAAAAAUCCUUGGUCUUGAAUUUGAGCGUUUCUCUCUUUUUGACCUUGGGGGAGUGGGGGUCAGGGCUCUUGUGUGGGGUAUGCUUUCUUAAACACAUCAGUAAUAGGAAUUAAUUGGAGCAUUAAAAACGCAUUUUUCCCGUCGUUCCAAAAACAGCCCCCAAGAGAGCGCCUGCACACAGCUGCUGCUUGUUGGACCCAGCUCGGGUGUGGCCCGAGGGCUCAGGACUGCAGAGCAAGGACUCUGGGGGUCUGGGGUCUGCCCGCAAAGGAAGCACAGCUCUCACUCCUCUAGGGAGACUCUGAGCUGUUGCGAGGUGUUUCGAGAUUGCUGCAGAUCCCCCUCUCUCUCCUCGCAAGCAUCACCUCGGCGGAGAGGAAGGCGCUGUGCACGCUCCCACACGCCUGCGCCUUCUCGGCGGAGAGCUCGCCGGCUCGCGGGUGACCGUGCCCUGAUGCCUCAGCGCUGGCUUGUGGUGCAGCGCCUCGUGCGCCGUUUUUUCUGUCGUGCUGGUGAGUGCGGGGAUUGACUGCCGUGGAGAUCUCUGGGCUCUUUCGCUUCAGAUCCCCCCCCCGUUGCCUGCUGUUCCAUCCCCCUCCCCAACUGUGAAAGGUCUCCUAUCCCCCUGCCUGCCCUGCUUUGCUGGUAGCCUCCACACGCUGCCUGGCUCAGUGCAUUUUGC